GAAUAAAUAAGGAAGCAGGGAGAAGAAGAAGAAUGGAUUCCCCCAUGCCCUUGCAAGACUGUUUAUGAACUAAAAGGCAGAGGGCAGAGACUGUCUUCAAAUCAUUCAAUCACCAAGUACUAAUGCUCCAAGGAGAGAAUGCACUUAUGCUCCAAUUGGUGUCUUUCCACUGACUUCUUUUGGAUGAACCCCAAGUGAAAACAGACUUUGCAACUGGCUUUGAAGAUGCAUACGGCCAGUCAUGUUAUGAUUUUCCAAUGGAGAGGACCCCAUGGCAUGGAAUGGUGGGCAGCCUCCAGCCAACCACCAUGAGUGUCCUGGACCCUCAGUCCCAUAGCCACAGAGAAAUAAACUUGGAAGAGGUACCUGUGCUCCAGAAAGCAACUCAGCCUAAUCAGUACCUUGAUUCCAGCUUGGGAGACACUGAGCAGAGGACCCAGCUAAUCUGUGGACAGACUCCUGACCCAGUAAAAUUGUGAGGUAAAGGAGUUUGUGUUAAGUCCUAACAUUUUUGCAU